rnacentral:tRNA from 1 species
GUGGGUAUGGCCUAGUUGGUUAAGGCGCAAGAUUGUGGUCCUUGAGAUCGUGGGUUCAAAUCCCACUAUCCACCCCA